CCCUUUUUCCACAUUUUGUUACAUUACUGCCUCAUUCUAAAAUGGAUUAAAUAAAAAAAAUGUCAGGCAUAGAGAACUGAUACUGUAGAGAAUCAUUGUGAAAUAUCUUUUCCAUACACACAAAAACUUAACUUAAGACCGGAAAGAAUAGAAAUAGCGCACAUAGAGCAGAUCUACUGCUUCUUAGACCUGUCUUCAAUUAAGAAUGACAGAUCUAUAACUCACAUUCAAAUGUGGAUUUGGUCGUGUUGCCCAAAAAGUUUAAUAUUGCAGCUUUAAGGAACAUUUUUUAUAUAUUUUUUUUAUUUUUAAUUUGAAUGUUUAGCUCACAUAAUAUAAUUUAAAGGUAUGAAUAAAGGUGUCUGUUAUAGUCAUCUAGUGUAUUUAUAAAUCAUUGUUUGUCACUUUGUUCCUUAAUCAUAUCUAUAGGCUAUAUAGGCUAUUCAUCAAAGUAGCCUAUUUUGCAUUGAUAACCAAAUAAUCUCAGCGACUGUUCAAGCAUACCAUCGUCAAGAAUCCACCCAAAAAGGUGUGAUCUCAGAAUGCCAGGAGGAAAGGUCCCAACUGAAAAAUAAAAAAAGGCCAUGAAGGUUCUACAUACCAAACUCUAUAGUAUGAGGCUGGAAGAAGAGACCAGUAAGCGAUAUACUGCACGGAAAGUCCAGGUAGAUCUGAGAAAAUCAGGAACGACAACUUUCCCCAGGAACCGAAUCACAGAUCAUUGGAUUGGAAAAACGGUGCAUGAUGUCCGAGAGCUCCUUGAGGAAAUUAAUCUGGCACUACAGGAGCUCCCUAAGCAGGAGAGUCAUUGACAUUCUUGGAGAAAAUGACUCUGAUCAAUAAUAGCCCAGUGUAUUUGUUUGCCCAACUCACAUACUUAGAGCCCACUUAACACAUUCCGCUCACGAGUGUGAAAUUCCAGUCCACAAACUGCUUUUGUUGCUCAUUUUGCAGUAAAACUUCAAAAUAUGUCAGUAUAGAACUUUUCUCAAAUCCUUUCAUUUGAGAACCGAAAGUCUUGCCCAAGAAAUUACAUUUGUGUGUGACAUGACAGGUACAGUAGAUUCGGAAAGAAUUCAGACCCCUUGACUUUUUCCACAUUUUGUUACCUAA